UGGCAGGUUGAGUGUUGCUCCUCCUCCACUCAGGUGAUUUCUGGUGGGCAGAUUGCAGAGUGGUUUCACCUGUAUAAGUGCUGCGCCUUCUCUGGCGCUCACACUGCUGCCUGGCACUCGUGGCGAGGACUCGGUGUGGCGUCUGUUAGUUGUUGGUUUGUUGUCGGUUGGUGUGGUGUGCUUCAGUCACUUGAAGCGUUGUGGCCGUGUUGUUCGGGGGCGGCAUUGUGAAGAGUGAGGGGAGUGUGGCAUCCGCUCUGUACUGUUGCCGCAGCCGGUGAUCAGUUUCGGGGGCGUAAAGCUCUCUUCGUUCGGCUGUUGGAGCCGCAGCGGUGCUUUUGCUUUUCUUCCUCCUCCUGUGCUCUGGUGAAGCUGCCCUGCACGGCUCUGUGACGUAGCCUCCACCUGGCGAUCCCCAAACGUAAACCAUUCACGGCCUCCGGUCCUGGGGCGGCCGCUCUGUCUUCGCCAGCCGCUUCGUCUUCUCCAUCCACUCCGUCGUCUUCAUCAUCUUCGGCUGCUCCGGCACCGUUGCCUUUUUCCACACAGUCCGAUGUGGCGGUUGCAUUCCCACGCAGCGCUAAGUUUUCAGUCCCACCACAAUUCUUAUCGGUUUGGUUAAUUGUCUGCUUUUCCUUUCAUCUUUUUGUGUUUGUGUUCUUUAGUUUAUUUGUUUGGGUUAAAUCCUAUGCAUACAUAUAUUUUUGUGUUGCGUUUUGUUGACCCAUUUGGGGUUAAGCAUAUCAAUAUUUUCUUAUUAUUUUUGAUCUAUUGCUUUGGGGUUCAACGGAUUAUUUUCUGUUUAGUUUAACAUAGCUGUUGGGUUUGUGUAUGUGUGUGUUUUAUUAUAGUCCUCUGUUUUAAAUGAUUGUCGUAACAACCUGAGUGUUUCGCCACAACAGUAGUGUAAUUCUGUGUUUCUUUCUUGUGUUUCCAGGACAGGAGCUGGUGUAGCGGGCGGCAGGCUUUGAUUUGGUUUGUAGUGGUUAUUUUGUGGUUUUGAGUUUAUUUAGUCUGACCGCCUCGCUACCGCCUAGCUCUGUGCCUGUUGUAUUUAUUUCUACUUUGACUUGACACUUCAUUGGUUGUUGAGGUCCCUGAGCUCUUUUAAUUCCGCUUACCGUAGAUAAAUAAAAUUACAUCUUUUGUAAGUCCGUCUCUCGUCCUUCAUACCAAACGUGCAACGAAUCUGUGUGACCUCUGGUUGGCCAAAGUACAGGGCCAAGGUUGUAUUUCCUGGGGUGCAAUUCCCCAGGUGGCGUUGUCGAGCAACUUUCCCCCCCCCUUCUCUCCAUUAUGCCACAAGUGGCGUUGUCGGCAGGAUGCACUGUUGGAGGACAGAGACGUGACUUUCAAUUGUGUUAUUAGUUUGAGUUUUUUUUUUUCGCUGAGGAGUUUGGCCUGCAAGGUACUUAGCCUACAAGUUUUGUGAAAAACAUAAAAACUUUCAUACGGUAUCUCCGUAAAACGACGGCGAAAGUUACAUUUUUUGAACGUAUAUUACGGACAUACCGGACAGAAAUUUUACGGAGGGGAGGAGUCUCGGAGGAAAAACGGACAUUACGGAGAAUCAUAUAGGAAUGAAUGGACUUUCGGUCGGAGACGGUUUGAUCGCAUACGAGAAUGUACGUAUGUGGAAACGAGGCGUCAGAAGGCCCGUCCCUUCCUCCCAAACCCUGUGAUGCUACAUUAUCAUCUUGUUAGAAACAUGUUUAUCUGAGAGCCAACCCAGUCGCCAAAAGCAUACGUUGACAGUGUACGUUUUCGUGAACACUGGAUUACGUCGCAUUUCAACAUAAAAUAGCGUGCUAAGCACACAUACACGCACGCACGCACGCACGCACGCACGCACGCACACGCACACGCACACGCACACGCACACAAUGCAUUUCGCUGCUAAAACAACAACUUGGGCUGCUUCUAGGACAUUUUGGGUGGAUUUUGAACGGUAUGUGGGCAGGACGUUUUUUGCAGGCAGGACCUGGCAACCCUGCGCUGUUGCCCGAGGUGCAGAAAUGCUCCGGAACAGAUCUGGAUCCACCAUGGCCAAAAUAAUUGUCAUGAAUAGCAUGAAUAGAUUCAUGCAUUAUCAUUCAACUUGAACAUGUGUUUUUACAGUAUAGAGUGGUGGAGGGAUGACGUAUGUUGGCCAACCCGGAAGUGAGCGUCGACCUGGGUUUCCCUUGACAAAAAGCCAACAGGUUUUUCCAUUGGAUUUUGGAUUAUUGCAGAAAAUUAGCAUCUUUGAAGCACCUCCACAAAAACUGAAAAUAAAUAAAUAAAUAAAAAUAACUGUGCUCCAAAGAACGAAAUGUAAACCAAUGCAUUCUGAAUGGGAGUGUUUCUCCGAUUUUUCCAUGCUACACAGAACGAAAUGUAAACCCAUGCAAAUAAAGACUUCAUGGUCAUAAUAAUUUAAAUAUCAUUAUUCUCCUCAGUGUGUAGGGUGGUAUUCUAUUUUUUUCAACGGGGUUGCAUCC